rnacentral:rRNA from 1 species
AUUGAACGCUGGCGGCAGGCCUAACACAUGCAAGUCGAACGAGUGGCGGACGGGUGAGUAAUGUCUGGGAAACUGCCUGAUGGAGGGGGAUAACUACUGGAAACGGUAGCUAAUACCGCAUACCAUCGGAUGAGCCCAGAUUGGAUUAGCUAGUAGGUGGGGUAAAGGCUCACCUAGGCGACGAUCCAUAGCUGGUCUGAGAGGAUGACCGGCUACACUGGGACUGUGACACGGUCCAGACGCCUACGGUAGGCAGCGGGGAGGAAUAUUGGCAAAUGGGCGCAAGCAUGAUGCAGCCAGGGCGGGUGUAUGAAGAAGGUCUUCGGGUUGUAAAGUACUUUCAGCGGGGUGGCCUUAACCGCAGAAGAAGCACCGGCUAACUCCGUGCCAGCAGCCGCGGUAAUUC